rnacentral:rRNA from 1 species
ACGUAGGGGGCAAGCGUUAACCGGAAGGAAUGGGAGAAAAGAGAGCGGAGGUGGUUUUUUAAGCGUGAGGUGAAAGGCAAUAGCUUAACUAUUGUAAGCCUUGCGAACUGGAAGACUUGAGUGCAGGAGAGGAAAGUGGAAUUCCUAGUGUAGCGGUGAAAUGCGUAGAUAUUAGGAGGAACACCAGUGGCGAAGGCGACUUUCUGGACUGUAACUGACACUGAGGCACGAAAGCGUGGGGAGCAAACAG